AUUCAUCUCAGUCGAACCGACCUAUCUCUGAUCUUAAUUCGUUAACCAUGCCGUAUUGAUCUCUAAAGAUGAGCACGGUCGAGAAGUCGAUUCCUGGUUGAAUUGUCAAGUCUAUUUUCCUUAAGUCCUUAAUAACUCACCCAACUAGUCUAGUUAUCUCGCAAGUGGCCAACUCAGAGAAAAACACUGUAAUCGCAUCGAUGAAAUGCCCCAUUUAACCAAUCGAAAUCAGAAUAUGAAGAUUUACCUCUCUCUCAUCUGCAUUCUCUUAUAGAGUCUUUUGAAUUUCUAAAUAAACCCUUCUACGACUGUCUGAAAUAUCCUGCUAAUCCUCAGAAACUUCUGAUCUCUGUCACUGUCGUCAAUCUCGGCCAACUAUUCACUGCUCCAAUCUUGGAUGGGGUCUACGGAGAUUUCUUUGCCUGAAAUCACAUGACUUAGG
rnacentral:lncRNA from 1 species